AGCGAAAUAGCGAUAGUAAUAGUGAAUUGCAGAAUUCAGUGAGUCAUCGAAUCUUUGUAACGCACAUUGCGCCCUCUCGGUAUUCCGGGGGGGCGAUGCCUGUUCGAGCGUCAUUACAACCCUCAAGCUCUGCUUGGUAUUAGGCUUCACCCUUAGGGGCGGGCCUCAAAAUCAGUGGCGGUGCCAUUCGGCUUCAAGCGUAGUAAUUUUCUCGCUUUGGAGGACCGGGUGUGUGUUUGCCAAUAACCCCAAAUUUUUUAAAGGUUGACCUCGGAUCAGGUAGGGAUACCCGCUGAACUUAA
rnacentral:rRNA from 1 species